GCCUCCACAAGCAGUUUCCCAAAGACUGUGUUCACGACCAUGCGGUGAAAAUCUUACAACGUCUCUUUAGAAUUUCAGAAUGGUAAAGCUGGGGUGGAAUUUAGGAUCCCAUGAGUGAAAAGUUCUCCUUUUGCAGAAGAGGAUUCUGAGAGCCAUGCGUGAGUGGAAGUGUCAGGAAUAGAAUCCGGGUGCCUAACACUUAGCUGCCAUCUUUAAUACUUAGCUUCUUAUUUAGUCUAACCCAGUUCAGAGGUUAUAGAGUCGCUGAUUUCUUAAAAUUCCUUCUGGAUUACACAGUUGCUGAUUCUAAGCAAGAGUCAUAGGAUGAAAGUCUGUGAGCUGAACUGCCCAGAUCCCACAGGCUGUUCAUUGCUGAGAUUACUCCCAAACCAGCUUAGGCCCCAUUACUAUUUUUUAGGGGGAAUGUUGAACCUGUCAAGGAUGAAUUCCUCUAAUGGCUGUGGCAAAGCCAUUUGGUGUUUGGUUUACAUGAAAGUCACAAGACACUGAGUGUUCUUUUUUUCUCCACUUGUGUUUUUCUCUGUUUGGUGCAACUACUUAGUAUUGGAACACACAGCUCCUGAAAGGAGGAAGUGACUUAGAAGAUGAGGGAAGUGGAAGGAAUAGUUGAAACAACAAAAAUACCUUUGUUAUUCUUUUUCUUCCCUGAAGUAGUUUUCACUGUUACAGCUUCAGACGAUUUUGUAAUCUCGUUCAUAGUUGAACUUCCUCUCUGUUUGGCUGGUUGGAAAAAAAAAGAUUUUUUAAAAAGCAGCCUGUUUAAAGUCAAAUGAAUGGGUUUCUGACACACCUUGAUGCUGGUUGUGGCCUUUAUUUUAUGUUCACUUUACCCAGAGAUAUUUCUCACCAGAGAGAAUGAUCUGACCUCUUGUCAAGAUCACAUUCACUUCAGUUCAGUCCCGUGGUUUUGUCUUUUUUGAGAUGAAGUCUCACUCAUCGCCCAGGCUGGAGUGCAAUGGUGCCAUCUCUGCUCACUGCAACCUCUGCCUUCCGGUUUCAAGUGAUCUUCCCACCUCAGCCUCCCGAGUAGCUGGGAUUACAGCCCUGGGACUGUUGGCAGGCACAUCAGCUGUCUUUUCCUGCUUGGAGAAAGCCUGGCUGCAGCCGGAGGAAGGAAGGCCAACCCUUGGAAGGGAAGUAGAGUCAAGAGCAGCAAAUUCUGAGUCUCCUAGUGAGGUGGUUUGAGCCCCUGAAUUCGGUCAUCUCUGAAGACAGCUGUACCCAUGGAUGUCCCAGUUAUGUGAGCCAAUAAACCCAUGCUCGUCUUUAAUUCUGUUUGGGUUGCUUUCACUUUUAACCUAAAAAAUCUGAUUAACACACUAGUAGCUUUCUCUUGCAGCUGCUGCAAAUGACCACAAACUUAGUGCCUUAAAACAAUACAAGUUUCAGAUCUUAUAGUGCUGGAGGUCUGAACUCUGAAAUAGGUCUUAAAGGUGAAAGUCAAGGUGUCAACAGAGCUGUAUUCCUUUAAAGGCCCCGAGGAAAAUUACUUUGCUUGCCUUUUCCACCUUGUAGUGGCUGCCUAUGUUCCCUGGCUCCUGGCCCCUUCCUCACGUCACUCCAACCUCUGCUUCCAUCUCCUCGGACUCUCCUGCCUCCCUCCUAGAAAGAUCCCCGUGAUUAUGCAGGACCCAUGAGGAUGAUCCAAGAUGAUCUUCGUAUUUCAUCCUUAACUUAUGGUCAGAGUCGCUUUUGCCAUGUGAGGUGAUAUAUUCACAGGUUCUGAAGAUUAGGGCAAAAAUCUUUGGGAGACAUUAUUUUGUGUCCCACACAUAUUCAAGAAGAAGAAUCAGACUUGACCACUGAGAAGGUCACUUUUAACCAGAGUACAAAAUGUCUUCCUUUUAGGUGGCCCCAACAGGAUUGUAGAGCCAAGUUCCCCAGCACUUACCUUGGAGCACUUACACCUCGCCCGGCCAUAGCCCUAAAUAUGAUUAGGAGUUGGAGGUCCACUGAGAACUGGACUGUGCAGAUUCAGCAACUAGGAGCUCCUCAGAUGGAAGCAUCUGGAUUGGAGUCAACACAUGAGCCCAGCCCAAGUUCCCACAGUUUCCUGUGCAGAGGGCCCAUAGCCGGGUCACUUCCUGUGGUAACAAUGGAUACCAAUGACAGUUAAAUACCCACCUAAUGGAAGGAGAGUGUCUUUUAAAAUGUAAAUCAUGAGAAUGUCGUGAACAGGCCACCUUUUAGCAAUUAGAGCACCACAACUUGAGUAUCCCUUCGGUUCAGAAUUUAAGCCUAGAAGAGGUUUUGGUGGAGUUUGGAGAAUUCCAGGAUUUUGAGGUAAUGACAUGGUCAGAUAUAGGAUUCCAAAUUAUACUUCGGCAGAGAUGAAAAAGGCUCUUGCAACCUUAACUACAGAGCUGGUGCCCAAGGCCUCUUUAAUGAGAGGUGCCUGGUUUGAGUGCUGGAUUGGAUUCCGCAAGCAUGUUUCGGACAGAG
ensembl:lncRNA